rnacentral:rRNA from 1 species
CAAUAGCGUAUAUUAAAGUUGUUGCAGUUAAAAAGCUCGUAGUUGGAUUUCUGAUCGAGACAUCAGGUCGGGUCCGAGAGGAUCAUGUACUUUGAUUUGUUUUGAUCAUCCUUGGGGAGAGCAUUUCUGGCAUUCAGUUGUCGGGAUUGGGAUCCUCAUCGUUUACUGUGAAAAAAUUAGAGUGUUCAAAGCAGGCCUCGGCCUCUGAAUACAUUAGCAUGGAAUAAUAAGAUAGGACUUUGGUGGUCUAUUUUGUUGGUUUGCGCGCCAAAGUAAUGAUUAAUAGGGAUAGUUGGGGGUAUUCGUAUUCAAUUGUCAGAGGUGAAAUUCUUGGAUUUAUGGAAGACGAACUACUGCGAAAGCAUUUACCAAGGAUGUUUUCAUUAA